rnacentral:rRNA from 1 species
UACGUAGGGUGCGAGCGUUGUCCGGAAUUAUUGGGCGUAAAGAGCUCGUAGGCGGUUUGUCGCGUCGUUCGUGAAAACUCCACGCUUAACGUGGAGCGUGCGGGCGAUACGGGCAGACUAGAGUGCGGUAGGGGAGACUGGAAUUCCUGGUGUAGCGGUGAAAUGCGCAGAUAUCAGGAAGAACACCCGUGGCGAAGGCGGUUCUCUGGGACGGUACUGACGCUGAGACGCGAAAGCGUGGGGAGCGAACAGG